AUUACUUUUGCAGGCAAAUUGAAACCAACUCUAUGAAUCCUCUCCUAUAAGUACCAUUAAACUACAUCAUGUCUUAGAACAUCAAAAGGUAACCCAAGGAGAAGAAAACAUGUCAAGUUGCAAGGGUAAAAAGUCUUGGCCGGAAUUGGUUGGCAUCAAUGGAGAUGCAGCAGUA